GUGAAUCAUCGAAUCUUUGAACGCACCUUGCGCUCCUUGGUAUUCCGAGGAGCAUGCCUGUUUGAGUGUCAUUAAAUUAUCAACUUUAUCAGCUUGCUGUAUAAAGCUUGGAUGUGGAGGUUUUUUUGCAGAUAAGCUUCAUGGCAUUUCUGCUCCUCUUAAAUAAAUUAGCGAGUUUAAACUAGGCUCUGUCUAUUGGUGUGAUAACUAUCUACACCGUUGGAUUGGGCUUAGACUUGCUUCUAACCGUCUGAAAAGACAAUCUUUUGACAAUUUGACCUCAAAUCAGGUAGGACUACC
rnacentral:misc_RNA from 1 species